UGGUCAGGGAUGAGCUCGCGGCCUAUCAGCUUGUUGGUGAGGUAAUGGCUCACCAAGGCAUCGACGGGUAGCCGGCCUGAGAGGGUGACCGGCCACACUGGGACUGAGACACGGCCCAGACUCCUACGGGAGGCAGCAGUGGGGAAUAUUGCACAAUGGGCGCAAGCCUGAUGCAGCAACGCCGCGUGAGGGAUGACGGCCUUCGGGUUGUAAACCUCUUUUAGCAGGGAAGAAGCGAAAGUGACGGUACCUGCAGAAAAAGCGCCGGCUAACUACGUGCCAGCAGCCGCGGUAAUACGUAGGGCGCAAGCGUUAUCCGGAAUUAUUGGGCGUAAAGAGCUCGUAGGCGGUUUGUCGCGUCUGCUGUGAAAUCCCGAGGCUCAACUUCGGGUCUGCAGUGGGUACGGGCAGACUAGAGUGCGGUAGGGGAGAUUGGAAUUCCUGGUGUAGCGGUGGAAUGCGCAGAUAUCAGGAGGAACACCGAUGGCGAAGGCAGAUCUCUGGGCCGUAACUGACGCUGAGGAGCGAAAGGGUGGGGAGCAAACAGGCUUAGAUACCCUGGUAGUCCACCCCGUAAACGUUGGGAACUAGUUGUGGGGUCCAUUCCACGGAUUCCGUGACGCAGCU
rnacentral:rRNA from 1 species